UGCCAGCAGCCGCGGUAAUACGGAGGGGGCUAGCGUUGUUCGGAAUUACUGGGCGUAAAGCGCACGUAGGCGGACUAUUAAGUCAGGGGUGAAAUCCCGGGGCUCAACCCCGGAACUGCCUCUGAUACUGGCAGUCUAGAGUCCGAAAGAGGUGAGUGGAAUUCCGAGUGUAGAGGUGAAAUUCGUAGAUAUUCGGAGGAACACCAGAGGCGAAGGCGGCUUUCUGGACCAAUACUGACGCUGAGAUGCGAAAGCGUGGGGAGCGAACAGGAUUAGAUA
rnacentral:rRNA from 1 species